rnacentral:rRNA from 1 species
UACGUAGGGCGCAAGCGUUUGUCCGGAAUUAUUGGGCGUAAAGAGCUCGUAGGCGGCUUGUCACGUCGGGUGUGAAAGCCCGGGGCUUAACCCCGGGUCUGCAUUCGAUACGGGGCAGGCUAGAGUGUGGUAGGGGGAGAUCGGAAUUCCUGGUGUAGCGGUGAAAUGCGCAGAUAUCAGGAGGAACACCGGUGGCGAAGGCGGAUCUCUGGGCAUUACCUGACGCUGAGGAGCGAAAGUGUGGGGAGCGAACAGG